rnacentral:rRNA from 1 species
AUUGAACGCUGGCGGCAGGCCUAACACAUGCAAGUCGAGCGGAUGAAGGGAGCUUGCUCCUGGAUUCAGCGGCGGACGGGUUAGUAAUGCCUAGGAAUCUGCCUGGUAGUGGGGGAUAACGUCCGGAAACGGGCGCUAAUACCGCAUACGUCCUGAGGGAGAAAGUGGGGGAUCUUCGGACCUCACGCUAUCAGAUGAGCCUAGGGCGGAUUAGCUAGUUGGUGAGGUAAAGGCCUACCAAGGCGACGAUCCGUAACUGGUCUGAGAGGAUGAUCAGUCACACUGGAACUGAGACACGGUCCAGACUCCUACGGGAGGCAGCAGUGGGGAAUAUUGGACAAUGGGCGAAAGCCUGAUCCAGCCAUGCCGCGUGUGUGAAGAAGGUCUUCGGAUUGUAAAGCACUUUAAGUUGGGAGGAAGGGCAGUAAGUUAAUACCUUGCUGUUUUGACGUUACCAACAGAAUAAGCACCGGCUAACUUCGUG